rnacentral:tRNA from 1 species
GCCAUCGUGGUGUAGUGGUUUCAGUGUUGGACUAUGACUCUGGAGACCAGGGUUUGAUUCCCAGCUUGGCC